AUUCCCUCCUCCACGCGGGGCAAAGUCAAACAUAGGCGCCUCCCACCACACAGAACUUUGGCCCCAGCCCUGAGACCGGUUCAGACAGAAGACGACAGAAGACGAUGAGGGAAGGUACGCAGCCCUAGGGGAAGACAGCUGGGUCCCGAGGCUGGGAGACAACAGCCUAGCCUGUUCCUGCCCAUGAGCUGCAUGAGCUGCCACCAACCAGUGAGAAUGGAUGUGAGUGGCAGCGGUGACUGGUCAGUAGACUUCCUGCACUCUGCUGGUUGACGUCAAAUCAGCAAAAAUGGACUGUUUCAGUCUUGCCUGGAGCGUCUGUGUGGUUCUGACAAUGCGAAUCCGCCUCCAUCUCCAACCCAGGUGCGGAGCUUUAUUAGAUAAGGGGUUUCUGGCACACAACUAUCUUAACCUUUAGUUCCAAGAAAAAAAAGAACCUGGAAUCCAAUUCCCUAUCCAGACCUGAGGAUGCCCUCUGCGCCUACAGCCCACCCCCUCCCCUGUAGGUACUGGGGGCCUAGCCUGGCGCCCCCACAAGGGAGCUGGAGACUCCCUUCUUAGUCCCCCACCCAGUCCCGUGCCUCCCCCAUAACUGUCCCCUCCUCCACGUUUCCCUUCUCAGACCUCCCGUCCUGGUCUCCUUCCCGCCAAUUACCUCCCCGCACCCGACACCGCCCACCAAAGCUCUGUACUCCUUAUCCACCGGGGUCCCCCGUGCUCCUCCGCGCCUCCCGGCAGCGGAACCCCGUGCCGAGGAGCGGCGCCAGGCCGGACGGGCUGCGCCGAGUGAUCCUCCCGGAAGUGCGCCUGCCCGCGGGGGCUCUCCAGCCCCACGGCGCGGGGCCGCCGCGGACCCACCUGCCCCAGUGCGGCUCCCGCCAUGGUCUGUGCGGCGGGGAACUGUGCCCGCCCCAGAUUAAGGCGUCCGGCCCCGCCCGGUCCACGCCCCCUCGCACUGAAGGCCCCAAGAUUCCAUUAUUACAGGGUGCCCUCGUGGAGAGGAGUCUGCUGCAGAGCGCAUGCGCUAGAACGCACCCCCGGACUAAGAGCGAAUGGGAAGACUCCCUCCUCCCAGCCCCUUCCGGGGUCUGUUCCAGUCCCGCUACUGCCGUUCAAGAGCUUGCACGCAGCGUUUUCAAAGAUGCAUUUUAAUAGGUUCUGCCACACAGCGGGAGUGAGGAGAAGCAGCCCCUAAUGAAAUCGCCCAAGUCGGCCGUUUCUGCUGCCCGUCACUAUCAGAACCAAUAAGGAGAGACAAGGAUUGAAUCUUCAUGGGCGCUUUAUUCAGAUGCUGGCGGUCUGAGAAGACGGCGGGUUGUGUACCCUAAAAUCCGUCUUAACAUCCCAUCUCAAACCAGCCUCUUUUUUUUUUUUUUAUUAGGAGGAGGGAGGGUAGGUGAGGGGUUUGGAGGGAAAGUUUAAUUGGAGAAGGGUUGCAGAGGGGCAAGGGGGCGGAGGGGCGAUCUUCCUAGUACUUCUUUAUCUGUGAAUCAACACUUCCUCUGUGUCCUGGACACGGCCUCCCUGGAACACCGUGGCAUGCAGGCCCCCUGGGGCACAAAGUUUGAAUUGCUUGUCAACCUCCUGGAGUCAGCAGGUCAUGUAUUGCAAUUCCUGGAAUAACAGCUUUCCUCAAGCAUCGGUCACUGGAGCCUGCCAGCUAACUAACGCUAAAAUCUUUAACUCUUGAGUUCCCGGAUCAGUAAGAGAAGAAAGGCCAGCACCUUUGCAGAUCUCCAUCCUUUCCUUGGUGAAAGGGAAAAGUACACUGUACGUGGCGGUGGGUGCGUAUCACGUAAAUGAAAAGGGUAAGGACUUUGGGAAAAGGCCUCUGAAGAGGGUGGCCGGCAGGGAUGAAGGGGUUGCAGGCAAAAACCCUGUUUGAAUACAGUUUUUCUGUCAUUUUUUAAGCCAUAAAAACACAUGGCUCACCA